AUCUAAUGACUUGUGACUAACGAUGUGCAUACAGGAGGCAAUUCAGUUGUCAGAAAGUUGAGGUACAAAUCAAGAUGACAUUUCGAAUGUUCAGUUUCAAAGAUCGUACCAGAAAGUACUUGAUCACCUGUAACGAUGGUCAGCUAUUUGCUAUCCAAUUUAUGGUUUCAGUGUUUUCUUGAUCCAUUGAAGAUACAGAUGGAGUUCUCCAGUUUCAGCGAGUUGUGUACAACAUCUAGUGGAAGUGGUGACCUGGGUUCACUCUCUACUGAAAGCAUCAACUUACCUGUCCCUUUUUUCCAUUGAAGUUUUUGGUGCCUACAGAGUUUAGAUGAUUAAACUUGAGGUGCAAUUAUUGUCAGUAUUGGUUAACGGGUGUUUUGCUUUUGCACUAAUGUGGUGAUCUUUACAUGCGUUAUUUAACUUAUUCAUAUUCACCAGUACAAACAAAACAAGAGCUGAUUGUUCAAGAUUAAUUGCAGGACCAAUAUGAUGCUCAAGCAGCUACAUGUCUGCAUAAUGGCUACAGAUGUUUGGUGCUCAGUUUACCGACAAGAGUUGAUGCAUUUACCGAAACACUAUGUAGAUAGUAGUGCAGUUACAUUACAUGUAAUUUUAAUUAGUGAUUAGUUGCAUGUUAUGUUAAUGGUCAGUAGUUCCUUUUGAGCUCAAGUGGCCUGCAAGAGCUGAUGCACUUCGAGAAAACACUGUCUAGAUAGUAGUGCAGUUAUAUUACAUAAAUUUUACAUCAGUAGUUGGUUUCAUGUUGGUCAUGUAAUCAGUAUGUGCUAAGGACUAUCUCUGGCCUCUUUCCUUUGUGUUGCUUUUUACUAUGAUGCAUGUGAUACAUUUUAGCAGGUCAAUCAAACUGAAAGCAAAAUUCA